rnacentral:rRNA from 1 species
UACGUAGGGUGCGAGCGUUAAUCGGAAUUACUGGGUGUAAAGCGUGUGCAGGCGGCUGGCCAAGUGGUGUAUGAAAUAUCCAGGCUCAACCUGGAGGGGUUAUGCCAGACUGGUCGGCUAGAGUGCGAGAGAGGGGCGUGGAAUUCCGGGUGUAGUGGUGAAAUGCGUAGAGAUCCGGAGGAACCCCAGAGGCGAAGGCGGCGCCCUGGCUCGACACUGACGCUCAGACACGACAGCAUGGGGAGCGAACGGG